UAGAUCAUACCAAAAAGUGGUUUAUUAAAAGAAGAGAAUUUUCUAAUAGAUAUAUGGAAAAGACUCUUGCAUGGUUUAAUAAUUCCACCAGUGAAUAAUGGUAAAUUACAUGAACACAUUGGGAAAAUAUUUAAAUUUUUUGCUGAUCUGUUACAAACUACUGGCAUCCAGAAAGAUAGCAUAAAAUUCAUAAUAUGCCACUAUAACAAGACCUCAACAUCAUCAACACAAUUUUUAAUGAAACUUGUCAAUUAAAAAAUAUUUAAAAUUAGUCACCACACAAGAAAACUCAAAAUGCCUUAAGUUUUUACAGCCCACAGAUGAAAGAAACUUGAUUGAGGUUUCCUCAAAUUUGACAUCAAUUCUAAAAAUGUACAUGACAUUUCCAAUAGACUUGUGAGCCUGAAAGAAAUUUCCUUAAAUUAUCAAUGGUACAAAACAAGUUUUGAUCAACCAUGUUGAAGGAAAGACUGAAUAAUCUCUUUAUUCUCUGUAUAGAAAAUGAUAUUAUAAAACCAUUGUCACAUGAAGAAGCAAUCAAAGAAUGUGCAGCCGGAUGCGGGUGGAAAGAGGUAGGCAAGACUGAAAAAGGCAAGAAAAAGGAGCAAGAGGUGGAAGGUAGAUGGAAUGAGGAAACGAGGAGGAAGAUAAAAGCAAAGAUGAUGAUGUGAUAAUGAUGAAAAACAAGUUGGUCCUAGCUCCGUUUUUUUUUUCCCCUCUCAUCUAUAAGGCAUUUGAAACACCCGCACUGCACACAAGUCACUCCUAUUUAAAAACAUUCAAUGAGAGGCUGUGCAAUAUUUGUUUUUACAUUGCACAGGGUCACUUUUGUGCAGUUAAUAACUUAUUUUUUCAGAGAACAUGUGACAGUGGGUUUUAAUUCAUGUGGAACUUUCCCAGCAACAGGGGGAAGUGAGUCCCAUGAUAUGUCAAUGGCUACAUAAUUCCCUGGGAUCUAGGCCUGGCUGUGUCAUUGACCAGCUCUAAGAUCUUGGGAAUGGGACUUAAUCCACCUGGACUUUGGCAUUUACUCUGGAGUAAAUUAGUAAAUGUAAAAGGUAUGUCUCAGUUUUGAAAUUAUGUCAUAAUUUGCUUAAAGCAUUUCAAAGAAAGAAGAGAUUAUGAAGUAGAUCUCUUACAGAUAAGGGAACUGGGACCACAACAAACUGAGAAGCUUAUUCUCAGCACAGACAACUCAAUUAUAGCCUCCUGGUUAACUGGUCCUUCUUUCUUUUACUUUUCCAAAUUUUUAAAUUAAGAUAUAAUUCACAACCACAAAAUUCAUCCUUUUAAAAUGCAUAGUUCAAUGGUUUGUACUAUAUGCACAAGGCUGUGCAACCAUCACCACUAUCUAAUCUCAAAGCAUGUUCAUCACCCCCAAAAGAAACCCAUACGCAUUAGCCAUCACUCUUCACUAUCCCCUUCUUCCUGCCUGCCCCUGGCAACCACUAAC
rnacentral:lncRNA from 1 species